GCCGCGGUAGCUCAAUUGGUUAGAGCAUCGCACGUGUAAUGCGAAGAUGUGGGAUCGCUCCCCACCUGCGGCA
rnacentral:tRNA from 1 species